GACGAACGCUGGCGGCGUGCUUAACACAUGCAAGUCGAACGGAAAGGCCCUGCUUUUGUUGGGUGCUCGAGUGGCGAACGGGUGAGUAACACGUGAGUAACCUGCCCUUGACUUUGGGAUAACUUCAGGAAACUGGUGCUAAUACCGGCUAGGAGCUCCUGCUGCAGGGUGGGGGUUGGAAAGUUUCGGCGGUUGGGGAUGGACUCGCGGCUUAUCAGCUUGUUGGUGGGGUAGUGGCUUACCAAGGCUUUGACGGGUAGCCGGCCUGAGAGGGUGACCGGCCACAAUGGGACUGAGAUACGGCGCAGACUCGUACGGGAGGCAGCAGGGGGGAAUAUUGCACAAUGGGCGGAAGCCUGAUGCAGCAACGCCGCGUGCGGGAUGACGGUCUUCGGGUUGUAAACCGCUUUCGCCUGUGACGAAGCGUGAGUGACGGUAAUGGGUAAAGAAGCACCGGCUAACUACGUG
rnacentral:rRNA from 1 species